rnacentral:rRNA from 1 species
AGAGUUUGAUCCUGGCUCAGAGCGAACGCUGGCGGCAGGCUUAACACAUGCAAGUCGAGCGGGCGUAGCAAUACGUCAGCGGCAGACGGGUGAGUAACGCGUGGGAACGUACCUUUUGGUUCGGAACAACACAGGGAAACUUGUGCUAAUACCGGAUAAGCCCUUACGGGGAAAGAUUUAUCGCCGAAAGAUCGGCCCGCGUCUGAUUAGCUAGUUGGUAGGGUAAUGGCCUACCAAGGCGACGAUCAGUAGCUGGUCUGAGAGGAUGAUCAGCCACAUUGGGACUGAGACACGGCCCAGACUCCUACGGGAGGCAGCAGUGGGGAAUUUUGGACAAUGGGCGAAAGCCUGAUCCAGCAAUGCCGCGUGUGUGAAGAAGGCCUUCGGGUUGUAAAGCACUUUUGUCCGGAAAGAAAUCCUUGGCUCUAAUACAGUCGGGGGAUGACGGUACCGGAAGAAUAAGCACCGGCUAACUACGUGCCAGCAGCCGCGGUAAUACGUAGGGUGCGAGCGUUAAUCGGAAUUACUGGGCGUAAAGCGUGCGCAGGCGGUUUGCUAAGACCGAUGUGAAAUCCCCGGGCUCAACCUGGGAACUGCAUUGGUGACUGGCAGGCUAGAGUAUGGCAGAGGGGGGUAGAAUUCCACGUGUAGCAGUGAAAUGCGUAGAGAUGUGGAGGAAUACCGAUGGCGAAGGCAGCCCCCUGGGCCAAUACUGACGCUCAUGCACGAAAGCGUGGGGAGCAAACAGGAUUAGAUACCCUGGUAGUCCACGCCCUAAACGAUGUCAACUAGUUGUUGGGGAUUCAUUUCCUUAGUAACGUAGCUAACGCGUGAAGUUGACCGCCUGGGGAGUACGGUCGCAAGAUUAAAACUCAAAGGAAUUGACGGGGACCCGCACAAGCGGUGGAUGAUGUGGAUUAAUUCGAUGCAACGCGAAAAACCUUACCUACCCUUGACAUGGUCGGAAUCCCGCUGAGAGGUGGGAGUGCUCGAAAGAGAACCGGCGCACAGGUGCUGCAUGGCUGUCGUCAGCUCGUGUCGUGAGAUGUUGGGUUAAGUCCCGCAACGAGCGCAACCCUUGUCCUUAGUUGCUACGCAAGAGCACUCUAAGGAGACUGCCGGUGACAAACCGGAGGAAGGUGGGGAUGACGUCAAGUCCUCAUGGCCCUUACGGGCUGGGCUACACACGUGCUACAAUGGCGGUGACAGUGGGAAGCUAAGGGGUGACCCUUCGCAAAUCUCAAAAAGCCGUCUCAGUUCGGAUUGGGCUCUGCAACUCGAGCCCAUGAAGUUGGAAUCGCUAGUAAUCGUGGAUCAGCACGCCACGGUGAAUACGUUCCCGGGCCUUGUACACACCGCCCGUCACACCAUGGGAGUUGGCUUUACCUGAAGGCGGUGCGCUAACCAGCAAUGGAGGCAGCCGACCACGGUAGGGUCAGCGACUGGGGUGAAGUCGAAACAAGGUAGCCGUAGG